GCCGGGCUAGCGUAGUGGUUAAUGCUUCUGCCUAAUGAGCAGGAGACCCAGGGUCGAAUCCUGGGCUUGGUA